AAUCAACGCUGGCGGCGUGCCUAACACAUGCAAGUCGAACGCGAAAACCCCGCAAGGGGUUAGUAGAGUGGCAAACGGGUGAGUAACGCGUGGGUGACCUGCCUUCGAGCGGGGGAUAACGUUCCGAAAGGGACGCUAAUACCGCAUAACAUCCUGCCCUUGAACGGGUGGAGAUCAAAGCUGGGGAUCGCAAGACCCGGCACUUGAAGAGGGGCCCGCGUCUGAUUAGCUAGUUGGUGAGGUAACGGCUCACCAAGGCAACGAUCAGUAUCCGGCCUGAGAGGGCGGACGGACACACUGGGACUGAGACACGGCCCAGACUCCUACGGGAGGCAGCAGUGGGGAAUUGUUCGCAAUGGGCGCAAGCCUGACGACGCAACGCCGCGUGGAGGAUGAAGA
rnacentral:rRNA from 1 species